ACAGUACUCCCUCCGUCUCAAAAUUCUUGUCUUAGAUUUGUCUAAAUAUGGAUAGUCACGCUUUAAUGUUAGAUACAUUCGUAUCUAGACAAAUCUUAGACAAGAAUUUUGGGACGGAGGUAGUAUAUA
rfam:Hordeum vulgare subsp. vulgare, WGS project CAJW01000000 data, contig: morex_contig_137392